rnacentral:tRNA from 1 species
GCUGUGAGACCGGGUUAUUACUGAUUCGUAAUCAGCAGGUCCGGGGUUCAAAUCCCCGUGCCGGCUCCA